UAGCUCAGUGGCAUAAGCACCUGCCUUGCAAGCAGGCGGUCCUGAGUUUGAUCCUCAG
rnacentral:tRNA from 1 species